rnacentral:tRNA from 5 species
CGGGGUGGCGUAUGAUGGUGGUACGACUGCUUUGGGAGCAGUUAGACCGAGUUCGAUUCUCGGCACCCCGACCA